rnacentral:rRNA from 1 species
GACGAACGCUGGCGGCGUGCUUAACACAUGCAAGUCGAACGGAAAGGCCCCUUUGGCGUUCCUCGAGUGGCGAACGGUUGCGUAACACGUGAGUAACCUGCCCUUGACUUCGGGAUAACUUCAGGAAACUGGGGCUAAUACCGGAUAGGAAUCCUUGCUGCAUGGUGGGGGUUCGAAAGCUUCGGCGGCUUUGCAUGGACUCGCGGCUUAUCGGCUUGUUGGUGGGGUAGUGGCUUACCAACGCUUUGACGGGUAGCCGGCCUGAGAGGGCGACCGGCCGCAUUGGGACUGAGAGGCGGCCCAGGCGCCGACGGGAGGAGGAAGGGGGGAAUAUUGCACAAGCGGCGGAGGCCUGAUGCAGCAAGGCCGCGGGCGGGAUGACGGCCUUCGGGUUGUAGACCGGUUUCAGCAGGGGCGAAGCUUGUGGUGACGGUACCUGAAGAAGAAGCACCGGCUAACUACGUG